GACAGGGGACCCGAGCGUUAGUCGGAAUUACUGGGCUUAAAGGGUGCGUAGGCGGACCUGUAAGUGUCGUGUGAAAGCCCACCGCUCAACGGUGGAACUGCACGGCAAACUGCAGGUCUCGAGGUUGGUAGAGGCGGGUGAACGAUUGGUGGAGCGGUGGAAUGCGUAGAUAUCAAUCGGAACGCCAAAGGUGAAGACAGCCCGCUGGGCCAAUCCUGACGCUGAGGCACGAAAGCGUGGGGAGCAAACAGG
rnacentral:rRNA from 1 species